rnacentral:rRNA from 1 species
CUACGGGAGGCAGCAGCAAGGAAUUUUCGGCAAUGGGCGCAAGCCUGACCGAGCAACGCCGCGUGGAGGAUGACGGCCUUCGGGUUGUAAACCGCUCUCAGCAGGGAAGAAGCGCAAGUGACGGUACCUGCAGAAGAAGCACCGGCUAACUACGUGCCAGCAGCCGCGGUAAUACGUAGGGUGCGAGCGUUGUCCGGAAUUAUUGGGCGUAAAGAGCUUGUAGGCGGUUUGUCGCGUCUGCUGUGAAAAUCCGGGGCUCAACCCCGGACUUGCAGUGGGUACGGGCAAACUAGAGUGUGGUAGGGGAGACUGGAAUUCCUGGUGUAGCGGUGAAAUGCGCAGAUAUCAGGAGGAACACCAAUGGCGAAGGCAGGUCUCUGGGCCACUACUGACGCUGAGAAGCGAAAGCGUGGGGAGCGAACAGGAUUAGAAACCCUGGUAGUCC